rnacentral:rRNA from 1 species
UACAUGUGGGGCAAGCGUUGUUCGGAAUUACUGGGCAUAAAGGGUGCGUAGGUGGUUUGGUAAGUCAGUGGUGAAAUCGUCCGGCCCAACCGGACACGUGCCAAUGAUACUGCCGAACUCGAGUGCGUGAGGGGUGGGGGGAACGAGCAGUGUAGCGGUGAAAUGCGUAGAUAUUGCUCGGAAGGCCAAAGCCGAAGGGACCCCACUGGUACGUAACUGACACUGAGGCACGAAAGCGUGGGGAGCAAACAGG